UGUGACUGCGUACCUUUUGUAUAAUGGGUCAGCGACUUAUAUUCUGUAGCAAGGUUAACCGUAUAGGGGAGCCGUAGGGAAACCGAGUCUUAACCGGGCGUUAAGUUGCAGGGUAUAGACCCGAAACCCGGUGAUCUAGCCAUGGGCAGGUUGAAGGUUGGGUAACACUAACUGGAGGACCGAACCGACUAAUGUUGAAAAAUUAGCGGAUGACCUGUGGCUGGGGGUGAAAGGCCAAUCAAACCGGGAGAUAGCUGGUUCUCCCCGAAAGCUAUUUAGGUAGCGCCUCGUGAAUUCAUCUCCGGGGGUAGAGCACUGUUUCGGCUAGGGGGCCAUCCCGGCUUACCAACCCGAUGCAAACUGCGAAUACCGGAGAAUGUUAUCACGGGAGACACACGGCGGGUGCUAACGUCCGUCGUGAAGAGGGAAACAACCCAGACCGCCAGCUAAGGUCCCAAAGUCAUGGUUAAGUGGGAAACGAUGUGGGAAGGCCCAGACAGCCAGGAUGUUGGCUUAGAAGCAGCCAUCAUUUAAAGAAAGCGUAAUAGCUCACUGGUCGAGUCGGCCUGCGCGGAAGAUGUAACGGGGCUAAACCAUGCACCGAAGCUGCGGCAGCGACGCUUAUGCGUUGUUGGGUAGGGGAGCGUUCUGUAAGCCUGCGAAGGUGGCCUGUGAGGGUUGCUGGAGGUAUCAGAAGUGCGAAUGCUGACAUAAGUAACGAUAAAGCGGGUGAAAAGCCCGCUCGCCGGAAGACCAAGGGUUCCUGUCCAACGUUAAUCGGGGCAGGGUGAGUCGACCCCUAAGGCGAGGCCGAAAGGCGUAGUCGAUGGGAAACGGGUUAAUAUUCCCGUACUUGGUGUUACUGCGAAGGGGGGACGGAGAAGGCUAUGUUGGCCGGGCGACGGUUGUCCCGGUUUAAGCGUGUAGGUGUGUGUUCCAGGUAAAUCCGGUUCACUUUAACACUGAGGCGUGACGACGAGGCACUACGGUGCUGAAGCAACAAAUGCCCUGCUUCCAGGAAAAGCCUCUAAGCAUCAGGUAACAUCAAAUCGUACCCCAAACCGACACAGGUGGUCAGGUAGAGAAUACCAAGGCGCUUGAGAGAACUCGGGUGAAGGAACUAGGCAAAAUGGUGCCGUAACUUCGGGAGAAGGCACGCUGACAC
rnacentral:rRNA from 1 species